UACGUAGGGAGCAAGCGUUGUCCGGAUUCAUUGGGCGUAAAGGGUGCGUAGGCGGUCGUGCAAGUCGGAUGUGAAAUCUCAGGGCUCAACCCUGAAACUGCAUUCGAUACUGCGCGGCUAGAGUGCUGGAGGGGAGACUGGAAUUUACGGUGUAGCAGUGAAAUGCGUAGAUAUCGUAAGGAAGACCAGUGGCGAAGGCGAGUCUCUGGACAGCAACUGACGCUGAGGCACGAAGGCCAGGGGAGCAAACGGG
rnacentral:rRNA from 1 species